UACGGAGGGUGCAAGCGUUGUCCGGAUUUACUGGGCGUAAAGGGCGCGUAGGCGGUUGUAUCAGUCGGGUGUGAAAGGCCUGGGCUUGCCCUGGGUGAGCAUUCGGGACGGUAUGACUGGGGCGUGGUAGAGGGGUAUGGAAUGCCGGGUGUAGUGUUGAAAUGCGUAGAGAUCCGGCGGAACACCGGUGGCGAAAGCGGUACCCUGGGCCAAUUGCCGACGCUGAGGCGCGAGAGCGUGGGGAGCGAACCGG
rnacentral:rRNA from 1 species